GGCCUCCUGCACUGGGAGUUUGGAGUCUUAGCCACUGGAGGACCAGCGGGGAAGUCCCAGACUACUUCUUCAAACUUUUACUCUGUACUGCCUCCCUUCUCCCCGGGAGCUCACCUUUGUGGUUGGUCCCCACUUCAGAGGACAGUGGCAGAGGCUGUAGAACAGACGGACUGGAAAUCCCUUAGAAUCCUAUAAACUUUGGAAGGGGCCCAUGCAGGGACACUGAAGUUGAUGCUGAAGAAUUUGUACAGGGCCUUUGAAGAUAAUCUCUGUUCCUGUGCCCCUGUUGAUAAUUGAGACAUCAAUUUCUGGGCCAGUGUUUUCAUAAUGGACCUCUCAGAGUGUAUAACGGGGAAAGCCUAGAUGUGGUUUUAGGUCUCUGGCCCUGGAGCUGCUGUAGCUGUAAAGCUAUUAAAUUUGCAGCUUCCUGUUUUCAGUCCUGCUCUGGGAUCCUUUCAAAAUGCUCAGCCACAGUCAUUGCUUCAGGCAGGCUUGUGGCACGCCAUCUUAUUUUGUGUUUUUUGAUAAUGGCUUGUAAAAGAUCAGUUGCUAUUCUGUGAACCCUUUCUGGCCACCAAUCCGGAAUAUCAACCUUUUGCUUCUGAAGCCAAAAACUCAUCCUCAGGGCACCAGUGCUGAUU
ensembl:lncRNA